GUGGGUGAACCUGCGGAAGGAUCAUUA
rnacentral:ncRNA from 3 species